rnacentral:piRNA from 1 species
UUAAUGGGAAUGAUGAAGAAGAU